GGCUGGGAUCUACAUAGCUCACCGCCAAGGCCCUUAAUCCACAGUGCCACCACCUAAGUAGAUAAUUUCUUGACUCCUUAGGCCAGGGUACUUCCCUCUCCCCACCGACUAACCAGCUGCCCUCCAGUCCAGGCCGAAACACAGCUUUCUGGUCCAUGUCAUCGGGCUGCGCCCCCCAAGAGCGCCCCAGGCCGGCGGGGUGCCCCACGCAACCCGCUUCGCAGUGGGCCUUCUCCCGGCCCCAUCCUUCUUCUUACGGGCCUCCUUCGAGACUCCAACCGCCCAGCAUCGCUGCGAAACCCACCCAGGCUCCCGCCCAACCUCCCGGACAGCCGCUUCUGCGCUGGGCCGCUCUCCAGGGGCAGAGCUCACGGGUGGUCACCGGUGGCCACAGUGGGUCACACAUAGCUCAAAGGCGCUCAAGGACAGCAGCACGGGUAUAAAGCCACAGGACCAUCCAGCCAUGCGGGUGCCGUCAAAGCACGGGUGAUCAUGAGGUGUUCUGAGGCAGGAUGCAAGAAAUAAAAUACAGAUGGUAAGGAGUCAAGGAAACCAUAACUAAAAAAUUAUACUUGUAAGAAGACUGCAAGCUGGCCAUGGUGGUGCUCACUUGUAAUCCCAGCACUGGGGAGGCUGAGGCAGGAGGAUUGUCCCAAGUUCCAGGCCAGCCUGGGCUACACAGCAAGUUUAAGGCCAACCUGCACUAUAGAGUGAAACCCUGUCUCAAAAAACAAACAAACAAACACCACAACUUCCAGGAUCCAGCCAAAGUUACACAAAGUGAUGAAAAUUGGUAUUCUUUUGGUUAAGUUCAGACUCCUUUUCUGCCUGACCGAUCACACUUAAAACUCCUUAGGAAACUAAAAGUCCCUAAAUUGUCUUCAUUGAGAAAAUGAAGAACGGAGCAUGAUCGCAAGAUAAAGCAACAGGUCGAGCGAACU
rnacentral:lncRNA from 1 species